CCACGAGGAAGCAUCCCAUAUCGAACCGUAAACCCACAUUGGCCUUAUUGGGAAAGUUGCGUCGUUCCUUCUUGUAUACCUUCGAAUCGACCACCGAAUGGCGUAAUGGUGGAAAUCCUGUGUCGGGUCAAACCAGAGAUGGAAUCUCAUUUCUCUUCCGACAAUGUUUCCAUCUCCACUUCCUCUGAUGAACACGUUCGUUUGCAGUGUAUACGGUUUCCCUGGCGUCGUUCCCAGGAAUUCGAGGUCGAUUUCAUCGUGGUUUCCGGGGUAGUAUUGGUUGUUCGAAAGCUAAAUCAGAAUAAAGUUAAAACACGUGUAGCCGGAUUGGAGUUUUACAGCAACACCAAAGUAGCCGGAUCGGUAUGAGCGCAGUGAUUUAAACCCGCUACCUGUUCGACGAAAUGACGCACAGAGAAAAAUCAGCCAAAAUAGGAAAUGGGGUAAGAGAUUGUGAAAAACUAUUCAGCUUUCUGCCACAACCAUAUGAAUUUGAGGUGCUUUUAUCAUUUUUCUCUCGUACAUCCAACGAUUAUUAUGAGUCAAUUACAUUAUGGCAGCCUACUUGAAUAGAUUUUAUUCCGGAAAGUAGGAGAUAAACGGUGGACCUGAGGUACUGUCGAGCCAAAUGGUUAAG